CAAAUUCUUCCACAAAUUUAAGAUAUAUAGAAAUCUCGCUUUAUGAGACGCUAUCAUGCGUUAAAUUCAAAUUACGAUGAACGUAAACAAACAAACUAAGUUUGCUUUAGAAACGUUGAGAUGUCUUAAGGCAGUAAAGUGG